rnacentral:rRNA from 1 species
GACAGAGGGUGCAAACGUUGCUCGGAAUCACUGGGCGUAAAGGGUGCGUAGGCGGCGCGGAAAGUCAGGGGUGAAAUCCCGGAGCUCAACUCCGGAACUGCCUUUGAUACUGGCGAGCUUGAGUUCGGGAGAGGUGAGUGGAACUGCGAGUGUAGAGGUGAAAUUCGUAGAUAUUCGCAAGAACACCAGUGGCGAAGGCGGCUCACUGGCCCGAUACUGACGCUGAGGUGCGAAAGCGUGGGGAGCAAACAGG